rnacentral:lncRNA from 1 species
GAGAAAGAAUACAGCCACCCAUGGAGAUCAGAAAGAUAGACACCUUUGGGAUCACCUGCCACACUUUGCAUCUCUGCUUGGAAGACUAUGCUAUUUUAAGGUAUGCUACUAUUCUCUGCAAACUCAUAGGACCUCAUAGCCCUGUCACUCAGACACAGACCUGUGGAUCACUCGGCUGCUGAGAAGAUGAGAAGCCCAGAGGAAAGCUACGUUUCAGGAAAUAUAGCAGCUGAGUAAAUUGGAGGUGAUGGAUUUAAAAGGCAAAAGCAACAAAGUCGGAUUGGGAG